rnacentral:rRNA from 1 species
GUGCCAGCCGCCGCGGUAAUACGGGAGGGGCAAGCGUUGUCCGGAUUUAUUGGGCGUAAAGAGCUCGUAGGCGGUUCAACAAGUCGGUCGUAAAAGUUUAGGGCUCAACCCUAAAAUGUCGAUCGAUACUGUUGUGACUAGGAUACGGUAGAGGUGAAUGGAAUUCCGAGUGUAGCGGUGAAAUGCGUAGAUAUUAUGAAGAAUACCAGUGGCGAAGGCGGCCUCCUGGAUCUGUACUGACACUGAGGUGCGAAAGCGUGGGUAGCGAACAGGAUUAGAUA